rnacentral:sRNA from 1 species
GUCGGGUCGGGAGCUUUUUUUAGCUGCCCCCAAAUCCUAGCAGGCCUGGAUGGUCCUCCUGAGCUGGCGUCCUUGCUGCUGGAGAGGACAAAGGCUCAUGAGCAGGCUCUGCCCCUCUGGGAAGACAGCCA